rnacentral:lncRNA from 1 species
UUUUUUAAAGAAUGACUUAAACAAAACAAAAGCAAAAGCAAUAUUAAUUUCUAAUCAACUAACAAUUAACAUUUACUUUUAUGCACUUUAACGUUAAGUCUUUAUUCAUUUUCCAUUAUUUAUACCAUUUAACUUGUUUACUUUAAUGCCAUUUUCACUUUGCUCAUUUGAGUCGUAUCUUGUGAUUACAUUGUGAUUGUAUUACUUGUUUGUG